GCACCCGUAGCUCAGCUGGAUAGAGCGCUGCCCUCCGAAGGCAGAGGUCUCGCGUUCGAAUCGCGACGGGUGCGCCA
rnacentral:tRNA from 1 species